rnacentral:rRNA from 1 species
UACGUAGGGUGCGAGCGUUGUCCGGAAUUACUGGGCGUAAAGAGCUCGUAGGUGGUUUGUCGCGUUGUUCGUGAAAACUCACAGCUCAACUGUGGGCGUGCGGGCGAUACGGGCAGACUGGAGUACUGCAGGGGAGACUGGAAGUUCCUGGUGUAGCGGUGGAAUGCGCAGAGUAUCAGGAGGAACACCGGUGGCGAAGGCGGGUCUCUGGACAGUUCCUGACGGCUGAGGCACGAAGGCCAGGGGAGCAAACGGG